rnacentral:rRNA from 1 species
GGCCUAACACAUGCAAGUCGAGCGGAAACGAGUUAUCUGAGCCUUCGGGGAACGAUAACGGCGUCAAGCGGCGGACGGGCGAGUAAUGCCUAGGAAAUUGCCCUGAUGUGGGGGAUAACCAUUGGAAACGAUGGCUAAUACCGCAUGAUGCCUACGGGCCAAAGAGGGGGACCUUCGGGCCUCUCGCGUCAGGAUAUGCCUAGGUGGGAUUAGCUAGUUGGUGAGGUAAGGGCUCACCAAGGCGACGAUCCCUAGCUGGUCUGAGAGGAUGAUCAGCCACACUGGAACUGAGACACGGUCCAGACUCCUACGGGAGGCAGCAGUGGGGAAUAUUGCACAAUGGGCGCAAGCCUGAUGCAGCCAUGCCGCGUGUGUGGAGAAGGCCUUCGGGUUGUAAAGCACUUUCAGUCGUGAGGAAGGCGGGUAUGUUAAUAGCAUAUUCGUUUGACGUUAGCGACAGAAGAAGCACCGGCUAACUCCGUGCCAGCAGCCGCGGUAAUACGGAGGGUGCGAGCGUUAAUCGGAAUUACUGGGCGUAAAGCGCAUGCAGGUGGUUUGUUAAGUCAGAUGUGAAAGCCCGGGGCUCAACCUCGGAAUAGCAUUUGAAACUGGCAGACUAGAGUACUGUAGAGGGGGGUAGAAUUUCAGUGU